rfam:Medicago truncatula strain A17 chromosome 1, whole genome shotgun sequence.
AUAUAAGCAAAAAUUAACUUUUUAGAUUCAUUCAAUAAAUGAUGUAUGUGGUCUACACAUAGACAACAUACUUCAUUUAUUGAAUGAAUCUAAAAAGUGAAUUUUUGCUUAUAA